rnacentral:piRNA from 1 species
UCCAUCCCGUCUUGUCCCAGUGUUAACAAA